rnacentral:rRNA from 1 species
GAUGAACGCUGGCGGCGUGCCUAACACAUGCAAGUAGAACGCACAGUCUAUACCGUAGCUUGCUACACCAUAGACUGUGAGUUGCGAACGGGUGAGUAACGCGUAGGUAACCUGCCUGGGAGCGGGGGAUAACUAUUGGAAACGAUAGCUAAUACCGCACAUUAUUGAUUAUUGCAGGAUAAUUGAUUGAAAGAUGCUAUUGCAUCCCUACCAGAUGGUCCUGCGUUGUAUUAGCUAGUGGGUGAGGUAACGGCUCACCUAGGCGACGGUACAUAGCCGACCUGAGAGGGGGAUCGGCCACACUCGGACUGAGACACAGCCCAGACUCCUACGGGAGGCAGCAGUAGGGAGUCUUCGGCAAUGGACGAGAGUGUGAGCGAGAAACGCCGCGUGAGUGAAGAAGGGUUUCGGAUUGUAAAACUCUUUUGUAUGAGAAGAACGAGUGUGAGGGUGGAAAGUUCACAUUGUGACGGUACCUUACCAGUAAGAAACGGCUAACUACGUG